GACGAACGCUGGCGGCGUGCUUAACACAUGCAAGUCGAACGGAAAGGCCCCUGCUUGCAGGGGUACUCGAGUGGCGAACGGGUGAGUAACACGUGGGUGAUCUGCCCUUCACUUCGGGAUAAGCCUGGGAAACUGGGUCUAAUACCGGAUAGGACCAAUCUUUAGUGUGGUUGGUGGAAAGUUUUUUCGGUGGAGGAUGAGCCCGCGGCCUAUCAGCUUGUUGGUGGGGUAAUGGCCUACCAAGGCGACGACGGGUAGCCGGCCUGAGAGGGUGGACAGCCACAUUGGGACUGAGACACGGCCCAGACUCCUACGGGAGGCAGCAGUGGGGAAUAUUGCACAAUGGGCGGAAGCCUGAUGCAGCGACGCCGCGUGAGGGAUGACGGCCUUCGGGUUGUAAACCUCUUUCGCUAGGGAAGAAGCCUUCGGGUGACGGUACCUGGAUAAGAAGCACCGGCUAACUACGUGCCAGCCGCCGCUGUAAGAC
rnacentral:rRNA from 1 species